CUACGUGCCAGCAGCCGCGGUAAUACGGAAGGUUCGGGCGUUAUCCGGAUUUAUUGGGUUUAAAGGGAGCGUAGGCCGUAGAUUAAGCGUGUUGUGAAAUGUAGAUGCUCAACAUCUGACUUGCAGCGCGAACUGGUUUACUUGAGUGUGCGCAACGUAGGCGGAAUUCGUCGUGUAGCGGUGAAAUGCUUAGAUAUGACGAAGAACUCCGAUUGCGAAGGCAGCUUACGGGAGCACAACUGACGCUGAAGCUCGAAGGUGCGGGUAUCAAACAGGAUUAGAUACCCUGGUAGUCCACGCCGUAAACGAUGAGUGCUAGGUGUUGGGUCCUUUCCGGGACUCAGUGCCGCAGCUAACGCAUUAAGCACUCCGCCUGGGGAGUACGACCGCAAGGUUGAAACUCAAAGGAAUUGACGGGGGCCCGCACAAGCGGUGGAGCAUGUGGUUUAAUUCGAAGCAACGCGAAGAACCUUACCAGGUCUUGACA
rnacentral:rRNA from 1 species